CACAAAAAUUGUGCCUUCACCAUGGACAAAAAGAUUGCCAUAAAGCUACUCUUGUGUUGGACCAAUUUCGGAAAGAUAAGUGUCUCUUCUGUUUUGUGGAAUAAUUAUGGUGGUGGUGCUCAUGGGUAUGCGGGCCUGACAUCUUCAGCUACGGAGGUACACCGUACACAGUACACAGUCGGCCUGAGCGACGAGCUGUUCGAUAAGGCAGCGUCUGUGGUGGCUGCUACGAGCUCUGGUGCCUCGGUAGCCCAACCAUCGUCUUGACGGCGACCGACUUCUGCCCACCCAACUUUGGACUUGCGGGCGUCUUUGGUGGCCGGUGCAAGUUCCCCAAGAGGCAUCUCAAGAUGACUGAGGUCGCGUUCCUCUGGGUCACCAAGGCAAAGUCCCAACAUUAUCCGGAUACAAUUUCGAAGGGCUGGAGGAGAAGAGCAAAAUCACAGAGGUGCAGGUUCUUGGCUAGGUGGUGUGAUGUGUUAGAGUAGGGUGGCCUAAUGGCCAGAGGGGAUCUAGGCGUCCUGACGGCCAGUGGAGAUCGUGGCGCAGGUGCUACAUAGGGAAGAAGGUGCUGCCUGGAGAUCUAGGCGGCAUGAUGACCAGAUGAAUCUGGGUGACCUGAUGGAUCGAGGCGGAGGUGCUGCCGAGGUGGAAGAUAGAAGAGGACAGUGAUAAGAUCGUUGGACAGUGAUAGGAUCGUUAUUGAAGACCACAAUGUUGGAUCGCGAUUCGGCAAAGUGUACCGAUGUAAUUUUGCUUCCUUUUCACCUGGUCGAAAAUAUCUAAAACAUCUUAUAUAUUAACACGGAGGCAUUAUUUGCUACAAUAUAUUCCCCUAUUUACA